UGGGGGAUAUUGCACAAUGGGGGGAACCCUGAUGCAGCGACGCCGCGUGAGUGAAGAAGUAAUUCGUUAUGUAAAGCUCUAUCAGCAGGGAAGAAGAAAUGACGGUACCUGAGUAAGAAGCCCCGGCUAACUACGUGCCAGCAGCCGCGGUAAUACGUAGGGGGCAAGCGUUAUCCGGAUUUACUGGGUGUAAAGGGAGCGUAGACGGCGAUGCAAGCCAGAUGUGAAAGCCCGCGGCUCAACUGCGGGACUGCAUUUGGAACUGUAUGGCUGGAGUGCAGGAGAGGCAGGCGGAAUUCCUAGUGUAGCGGUGAAAUGCGUAGAUAUUAGGAGGAACACCAGUGGCGAAGGCGGCCUGCUGGACUGUAACUGAGCGAUUGAGGCGUCGAAAGCGUGGGUAGCAAACCGGAUUAGAUACC
rnacentral:rRNA from 1 species